ensembl:lncRNA
AUUUAAUAAAGUUGUACAGUGUUGUGUAGUAUUUAAUCAUGAGGUGUAGUAUUUAAUAAAGUUGUACAGUGUUGUGUAGUAUUUAAUCAUGAGGUGUAGUAUUUAAUCAGGCUGUGUAGUAUUUAAUAAAGUUGUACAGUGUUGUGUAGUAUUUAAUCAUGAGGUGCAGUAUUUAAUAAAGUUGUAUAGUGUUGUGUAGUAUUUAAUCAUGAGGUGCAGUAUUUAAUAAAGUUGUACAGUGUUGUGUAGUAUUUAAUCAUGAGGUGUAGUAUUUAAUAAAGUUGUACAGUGUUGUGUAGUAUUUAAUCAUGAGGUGUAGUAUUUAAUCAAGUUGUAUAGUGUUGUGUAGUAUUUAAUCAUGAGGUGUAGUAUUUAAUCAGGCUGUGUAGUAUUUAAUAAAGUUGUACAGUGUUGUGUAGUA